AUCUUAGUACAAAAAAUUAACG
rnacentral:snRNA from 1 species